GACGAACGCUGGCGGCGUGCCUAAUACAUGCAAGUUGAGCGCUGAAGGUUGGUACUUGUACCGACUGGAUGAGCAGCGAACGGGUGAGUAACGCGCGGGGAAUCUGCCUUUGAGCGGGGGACAACAUUUGGAAACGAAUGCUAAUACCGCAUAAAAACUUUAAACACAAGUUUUAAGUUUGAAAGAUGCAAUUGCAUCACUCAAAGAUGAUCCCGCGUUGUAUUAGCUAGUUGGUGGGGUAAAGGCUCACCAAGGCGAUGAUACAUAGCCGACCUGAGAGGGUGAUCGGCCACAUUGGGACUGAGACACGGCCCAAACUCCUACGGGAGGCAGCAGUAGGGAAUCUUCGGCAAUGGACGAAAGUCUGACCGAGCAACGCCGCGUGAGUGAAGAAGGUUUUCGGAUCGUAAAACUCUGUUGGUAGAGAAGAACGUUGGUGAGAGUGGAAAGCUCAUCAAGUGACGGUAACUACCCAGAAAGGGACGGCUAACUACGU
rnacentral:rRNA from 1 species